UACGUAGGGUGCGAGCGUUAAUCGGAAUUACUGGGCGUAAAGCGUGCGCAGGCGGCUAUUUAAGCUUGCUGUGAAAGCCCCGGGCUUAACCUGGGAACUGCAGUGAGGACUGGAUGGCUGGAGUGUGGCAGAGGGGGGUGGAAUUCCACGUGUAGCAGUGAAAUGCGUAGAGAUGCGGAGGAACACCGAUGGCGAAGGCAGCCCCCUGGGCUAACACUGACGCUCAGGCACGAAAGCGUGGGGAGCAAACAGG
rnacentral:rRNA from 1 species